rnacentral:rRNA from 1 species
UACGUAGGAGACGAGCGUUGUCCGGAGUUACUGGGCGUAAAGGGUGCGCAGGCGGCCCUGCGCGUCGCGAGUGAAAUCUCCCGGCUCAACUGGGAGGGUGGUCGCGAGACGGCAGGGCUUGAGGCUCGGUGAGGGGCGUGGAAUUCCGGGUGGAGCGGUGAAAUGCGUAGAGAUCCGGAGGAACACCAACGGCGUAGGCAGCGCCCUAGACGAGACCUGACGCUCAGGCACGAAAGCGUGGGGAGCGAACAGG